UUGGUUGAAAUGUUGGAUAUGUCUGUCCCUGCAGUUGCUAAAUUGAGACGUCUUUUAGAUAGUCUUCCAAGGGAAGCUUUACCAGACAUCUUGACAUCAAUUAUCCGAACAAGCAACAAAGAGAAACUCCAGAUUUUAGAUGCUGUGAGCCUAGAGGAGCGGUUCAAGAUGACUAUACCACUGCUUGUCAGACAAAUUGAAGGCCUGAAAUUGCUUCAAAAAACCAGAAAACCCAAGCAAGAUGAUGAUAAGAGGGUUAUAGCAAUACGCCCUAUUAGGAGAAUUACACAUAUCUCAGGUACUUUAGAAGAUGAAGAUGAAGAUGAAGAUAAUGAUGACAUUGUCAUGCUAGAGAAAAAAAUACGAACAUCUAGUAUGCCAGAGCAGGCCCAUAAAGUCUGUGUCAAAGAGAUAAAGAGACUCAAAAAAAUGCCUCAGUCAAUGCCAGAAUAUGCUCUGACUAGAAAUUAUUUGGAACUUAUGGUAGAACUUCCUUGGAACAAAAGUACAACUGACCGCCUGGACAUUAGGGCAGCCCGGAUUCUUCUGGAUAAUGACCAUUACGCCAUGGAAAAAUUGAAGAAAAGAGUACUGGAAUACUUGGCUGUCAGACAGCUCAAAAAUAACCUGAAGGGCCCAAUCCUAUGCUUUGUUGGCCCUCCUGGAGUUGGUAAAACAAGUGUGGGAAGAUCAGUGGCCAAGACUCUAGGUCGAGAGUUCCACAGGAUUGCACUUGGAGGAGUAUGUGAUCAGUCUGACAUUCGAGGACACAGGCGCACCUAUGUUGGCAGCAUGCCUGGUCGCAUCAUCAACGGCUUGAAGACUGUGGGAGUGAACAACCCAGUGUUCCUAUUAGAUGAGGUUGACAAACUGGGAAAAAGUCUACAGGGUGAUCCAGCAGCAGCUCUGCUUGAGGUGUUGGAUCCUGAACAAAACCAUAACUUCACAGAUCAUUAUCUAAAUGUGGCCUUUGACCUUUCUCAAGUUCUUUUUAUAGCUACUGCCAACACCACUGCUACCAUUCCAGCUGCCUUGUUGGACAGAAUGGAGAUCAUUCAGGUUCCAGGUUAUACACAGGAGGAGAAGAUAGAGAUUGCCCAUAGGCACUUGAUCCCCAAGCAGCUGGAACAACAUGGGCUGACUCCACAGCAGAUUCAGAUACCCCAGGUCACCACUCUUGACAUCAUCACCAGGUAUACCAGAGAGGCAGGGGUUCGUUCUCUGGAUAGAAAACUUGGGGCCAUUUGCCGAGCUGUGGCCGUGAAGGUGGCAGAAGGACAGCAUAAGGAAGCCAAGUUGGACCGUUCUGAUGUGACUGAGAGAGAAG
rnacentral:circRNA from 1 species